rnacentral:lncRNA from 1 species
UGUUUCAUUAUCAAUUUUAUUUCCUACCAUACACCAAAUGUACAGCACAGAACACAAUUUUGUUGUUUUGAUGUAAGAAAUAUUAAUUGUAUGAAGAAACAGUAUACAAACUACUCCAAAUUAAAAAAUGCAUACAUCAUUGCUCUUUACAAAAGGUCUAAUUUACAGUAUAGCUCAUCAAUGCAUUUAAACACAAAAAAAAAAAAAGAAAAACAAAAAGAAAAAAAAAUCAGUGCACGUUACAAAACACAUCAAGUACAAGGGAGGCAAAUAAAUACAAACAUACUUCACAGAACAUCCUGAGCAAACAACCAAACACAGUUAAAUUAACCUGAAGCCAUAGUAAAUCAUAAUAAUAAAUACAUAACUCCGUAAGAGAUUUUUUCUUAAAUAAAAUAUAUAACAAAUUUGUUAAAAUAUUUAGUAAAUCAAAUUUUAGUCUUUGUAAUGAGUGAACUCAUUUUGUAUGCAUUUAACGAGUAUAACAAAUGUUUGCUUUUUGUUUUUUUAGCAAGAACAAUAACUUUAAUAACAAAUUUUUGUUUGGUGUCCUCCUAUUUAUAUUAGACAGCACGUAUGGUAGCUUUUGAAAAAUCGAUUUAAAAAUAAACACAGCUCCUAAAACAUACAUUUUCCCCUGUCUAAACUAGGAUCGGAGAGUUGAACCAACCCUCAAAUGAAAAGCAAGCCCCACCUAACGCAGAACAGUGACCACAGUGCAUGAGAGUUGAAUCACUUUUGAAUAGUACUUUUGUGCAGGAACAGUAAUAAUAUAAUUGUAUAUGUCAAGCCUGUGAAUGCCAUCAUAUUCAAUCUAAAUAUAAAUGCAGCUAAUAAAAAUAAACACUUUCAUUAUAGCACGGAAAAAUUAAACACACGCUAGAUCCAUGUAUACAUUUACACUGAGGCACAUAUGCACAUGAGGUGUGUGUGCAUACAAAAAAGGCAGUUUAGCUGGUUGUUUAUACCUUUUUCUUAACAAAAAUAAAUAUAAAAAAAACUUCUGAAACAAUGCUUAAUUACUUACAAUCCCUGAAAUAGACAUUGCCUCUGUUAUAGCAACCGCUACUUUCUGACGGAUUCAGAAGUUCCUCAUCCAGGCUAAUCAGAUACUGAGGUGCAUGCCAGCA